AUAGAACACUAGGGGCGAAAAAUGGUGAACAAAGGGGCUGCUGUAUUCGCAUUGGUUCUCAGUCUGUUGGUUUUACAGGCAGCUUCGAAACCAGUGCUGCCAGGCCUCGAAUUCCUGGAAGGUCUCGGAGGAAUCAUUAAAAUAGUUUCUGCUCUUGGGGCAGGAUAAACCCGAAGAUGUAUUCGCCACGUAUUAUACAAAUAACAUGGGUCGCUUGCCUUAGUAAAAAUCUGUAAGUUAUGUGCAGAAUAAAUUGUUUUUCAAAUGUUAUCUAAUAAAUAACCAGCUUUUUUAUAAAUGUACAUCGGAAUAAAGAUCAGAUUAUGUGUAAA